UAAACCCUCUGGCUUCAGAUGUUAAAUCUGUGCAGUUGCCCCAGUUCCCUUACAAACUACGGCUGUUUCUAUUUGUUUAGUAUGUGGUACCUUUAGGGCUGUGCUCAGUAUAUAAUAGGUACUGUAUUAGCUACCGUGGCUUGUAAAUUAUUGUUAAUAGUCUUUUAAGAGAUGUUAGAAUGUGUAAUUAUUUUCAUGAGUUAAAACUUGUGAAAAAGCAAAGCUAGUGUUUGGCUGGCUGUGCUCAUUAGCAUUUCACAGUGAAUGGAGAAGGGGUAUUGUGUCAAGCCCUUCCUGGCUGUUUCUUCCUUUAACUUGAAGAAUGGCAGGCUCUUGUCUUUUGUUCACAACCAGCUGAGAGUCCAUUCAGCUGGAAAGGGAACAGUGUCCUCUGUGUGUACUCAGAGCAUUUGAAUACUUUUGGUUACACUGUAGUUGCUGUUUAAUGACAAUAAAAUUGUGACCAAAGGAGAUAAACAUUCAAGGGAUAAGUGACAGGCUGUUAAUGUGAAAGCUAGUUGUUGUUAUUAGCUAACAGGUGCAUAGGCAGCAGAGGGGACAGUUAAGUCCCAAUGUAAAGAGAAAACUGCUUCCAGCCCCUCAGAAAUGCUGUCUAGACGCUCUUUUUAAAAAGUACUUUAAAAAGAGUUAAAACAGGGCCUUUUAUUGUAUAUUCAAUGUAUAUAUUUAUCAUGCCAGAGAAUAUACAUGGCUCUCAUAUACUUACCAUUUUAUUUUAUGAUGAGAACACUUAAAAUCUAGUCUCCUGGCAAUUUUUAAGUAUAACCAUGUUGUAAAUUGCUAUUUGGAGAUUUUUGUUAAUGUUAAUGGUUGAUCACUUUCUUGCUUUCUUUCUUUUUUAAAAGUCUUUAGAACAUGUCUAAAUUGUCAUUGGAAAUUUCUAAAAAUUUCCUUAAACACAGUCAUGUACAUGUUUAUAUUUAUUUGUGUGUAUAUAAUAAUAUACAUCUGUAAUGUGUAUAUUUGUAAAAUAUAUAAAUUCAUUACCUAAUUAAAGAACUUUUGGGACUUUUUAAAGCAUUACAAUUUAGAAUUUGAUCUGUCUUAACCCUAUAAAGCCCUGGUUUCCUUGCCUUUUUAUGGAAACAUCAUUUUUGAGUGUUCCUUCCCCAUGCAAACAUCAGAACAAACCCUAGUUCUCUAUUCUCCUUCCCUGUGCCAUUGCUCCCCUUUCUGUCUUGUGCUCGAUGCUGGCUUCUAGACCUUUGCACAAUGUCUUGAUUCUGGGGUGUGAAGUCUACAGGGUUUUGCGCUUGUCUGUUGUCACAGAGUCCUGAAGUAUGUUUAACCUUUCUUUUCACAUAAAAAAUGUUAGGUUUAUGUGCAUUCCAUGUAAGAGUGCUUUGCCAGUGUAUAUAUACAUGCACCGUGUCCAUACAUAGUGGCUGAGAGGUGGGAAGAGGGCAUCAGUCCCCUUAGAACUAGAGUUGCAGGUGCUUGUGAGCCGCCUCAUGGGUGCUGGGAACUGAGCCCAGGUCCAAAGCAACAAGUGCCACCUGGUGCUGGCUGGCUCUCAGGCCCUAUUUUUUUACCUUUUCCGAUUGUUGCACCUGGCUAUUCAGCCACUUUCCAGGAUU
rnacentral:lncRNA from 1 species